rnacentral:rRNA from 1 species
AGGACGAACGCUGGCGGCGUGCCUAACACAUGCAAGUCGAACGGGGGUAGCAAUACCCUAGUGGCGAACGGGUGCGUAACACGUGAAGAACUUGUCCAUCGGCGGGGGAUAGCCGGCCCAACGGCCGGGUAAUACCGCGUACGCUUGUCGAGUGGCAUCACUUGACAAGGAAAGCAGCAAUGCACCGAUGGAGAGCUUCGCGGCCUAUCAGCUUGUUGGUGGGGUGAUGGCCUACCAAGGCGACGACGGGUAGCCGGCCUGAGAGGGCGACCGGCCACACUGGGACUGAGACACGGCCCAGACUCCUACGGGAGGCAGCAGUGGGGAAUAUUGCACAAUGGGCGGAAGCCUGAUGCAGCGACGCCGCGUGAGGGAUGAAGGCCUUCGGGUUGUAAACCUCUUUCGACAGGGACGAAGCGCAAGUGACGGUACCUGGAGAAGAAGCGCCGGCCAACUACGCGCCAGCACCGC